UAAGCGUUUGAUUUUGGCGCAGGAGUAAUGCUAGAUAGUGGGAUUUAACACAUGCAAGUCAUUUCUUUGAUAGUGUUUUGAUAUAAAAAUGCAAAAGGAGAAAGGCGUACGGGUGAGUAAUGUAUGAGAACCUACCAUUAUAUAUAAGUAUAAAAAAAGCUUUGAGAAGAUAUAAUUCGUAUAAUGAGGGGCUCAUAUAAGAUUAGUUAAUGUGUGGUGUAAGAGACCACAUAGACAAAGAUCUUUAGCUGAUAUAAGAGUAUGAUCAGCCACACUGGUACUGAGACACGGACCAGAUCUGAUUUAAUCGGAGCAGCAGUGGUGAAUUUUGCACAAUGUUCGAAAGAGUGAUGCAGCUACACUAUCGAUUCUAUGAAAUACUAGAGUGUUAUUAUAUUAAAAUGAUGAUUAAGAUAUAAUAAAUAGGGCUUUCUAAUAUGCGUGCCAGCAGAAGCGGUUAAACGUAAAGCUCAAGUAUUCUCCAAAAUUAUUGGGUGUAAAGGGUGUGUAGGCGGAUAAAUAAGUCAAAAAUAGAAAGUUCAGAUAUAAUAAGAGAUUUGAAAGUUGUUUUGAAACUAUUUAUCUAGAGAAUAAUAUAGAGGAUUGUAGAACUUCCAGAGUAGCGAUAGAAUGUGUUGAUACUGGAGGGAAUACCAAUAGGCGAAGGCAACAAUCUGGGUAUAUUCUGACGCUGAAACACGAAACCUUGGGUAGCAACGAGGAUUAGAUACCCUCUUAGUCCAAGGCGUAAACUAUGAUUAUUAGGGGUUUGUACUUAAAAUAUACUAAAUAAGUCCCUCAGAUAACUCGUUAAAUAAUCCACCUGAUUACUACGAUCGCAAGAUUAAAAUUCAAAAAAAUUGGCGGUUUGAGAUAUCAAGCUGGAGGAGCAUGUGGUUUAAUUCGACUAUCCGCGCGAAACCUUACCUCCAUUAGGUUAUUAUGAAAAAUAAUAAAUACAGAUACUGCAUGGUCGUCGUCAGUUCAUGUUGUGAAAUAUUAGAUUAAUUUCAAUUAAUGAACGCAACUUACAUCCUAUGUUAUUAACUAUAUAUUAAUAUAAUAUAUAAAAUACUCUUAGGAAACCGCUUGUUGAUAAAACAGAGGAAGGUGUAAAUGACGUCAGAUAUCAUGGUUCUUAUAUGGAGGGCUACACAUGUGCUACAAUGGUAAUUACAAAGUUCUGUUAUUCUGUAAGGAAAAACUAAUAACUAAAAAUUAUCUAAGUUCGGAUUAUAGACUGAAAUUCGUCUAUAUGAAGUAGGAUUCAGUAGUAAUCGCAAAUAAGAAUGUUGCGGUGAAUUAUGCAAUCUCAUUCGUACAAAUUGCCCGUCACCUCAGAAAAUUGUAGAUUGAUUCUGAAGAUUUUAUUAUUUUAUUUUCUAUUCUAAUUUAGAUUAUAAGAUACUUUAAUUUAAGACAGUCAAG
rnacentral:rRNA from 1 species